ACUCAACGAGCUUUAAUUUAAGAGAGGUGAGUUUCAAUUGUAAAAGCAAGCUACCUUGAGUAGAUCCUUAACCAGUUGUGUAGCCUCAAUCCUAUUUUUUUUGGAGUUU
rnacentral:sRNA from 1 species